AGGUUGUGUCUAUGUGCAAUAUUACCCUAACUUCAUUUGAGUUUCAUCAGAAUUACAUUCUUAUAAAUGUCAUUAUUUAUUUUAAUCGCAUACACAACUUUUGUAUGUAUGAUUUAAGAUUUUUUCUUUUUAAAUGACGUCACUCAUGAAUUAUUGUAAUGCUUAUAAUAUAUCUGCUAAGGUUUUUGGCUAGUCAAAGCUUUGGUGUAAUAUGGUCAAAUCUAAUUUUGCUUUAUAUUACAGAUCCCAGCAGCGGAUGAGCACCUGUGCAGCUUGCGACGACAAUCGCAAGCAUUAGUGCACCGCAGCAUUUCAGUGCUGUACUACAUUGAAUAAUACCUAGUUGACUUACACUGAAAAGCAUUUAAUUUAAAUUAUUACUGUAAUUGAUUUAAGCUUCAUUACUAAAAAUUCAACAUUCAUUGUGCAAGCUGUAAAUGGAGUUGCAUUAUUGAUUUUUUUUCAUACACUCUAUGUAGUUGUUCAUAAAUGGCAAGGUGAAGUGCAUAUUUGUAAUACCACAAUUCAACUUGAAACUUUCACCCAAAUCUUUUUAAUUUAACAAUACCAUAGUGAGUGCAGAGUCCAGGCACAGAACAGGCCAUAAGAAUCAAAUAGCUUAUGAAGUUGGUGAAAAAAUAGCUAUAUUUUUCUACAGUAAGAGCCUCAUUGCCCAUCAUUCAUGAGAAAGGCAUAGACUAAAUCUCUGUAUAUAUAAUCUUGAUUCUAGUUUUUCAAACACUAUACUCAAUUCCUUCUAUUCAAUUUAAUCAAAUAGCCAAUAUUCAGCUGGAAACUGCAGAAUUCAUUUAAGUUUGAUGGCUUAUAAAAUUUCGUGCAUUUAGACGUCAAUGCACAUAGGUACCUAUGUCACACAAAGGCAGCAAGGCAAUUCAUCUUAAUGUUGAAUUGUGUGUUGAAUUCAGACCUUGCCAUUGUUUGUGCUCCUCUUUUAUAGUGAUGAUAUGAUGCAGUGUGUAGUAAGAAUUCUUGCUUUUGCUCUAAAAAGUAUUAAUUUUUAGUAAAAUUCAUAAAUUAAUUAAUAAUAAAUAAGUAAAUUAAUUAAUUAAGAAUUAAUUAAUUAGUAGUUGCAGCACUUUCUUGAAUACCGUAGUCAUCUUGUAUACUGUGUGUAGGUAAAAGAAUUGCUAAGAACCUGCCAAUUUGAUGGUCUAAGCUUGGACCCUGUAAUAUUUCCAGAUGUGCUUCCCAUCAGCCAGGUGCCAUGAGUGUGUGUGAUAGCACUAGUAGAUUGAAUUCUGCAUUAUGCAGCUAUGAAAGAAAGAUCGAAUCACUUGAUAAAUGUAGGCAAUGAAGCAAUGUAUUAUUGCAUGUUAUAAAAUUAUAUUAAUAUUAUUGUAAUACCAGUGCAAUGUUGUGUUCACAUAUUGUCUGACUUUUCAUUUGUUAAAAUGCUCUCAUUUCCAGAGCAUGCACACUACACAAACCUUGUAACUUACCAAAUCAUAGGAAAUAAGUUUGUUGUUAUCUCAAUUUUCAUGUUUAAAAAUUUUUUCUUAUGUUCCAGAAUGUGUUGCUAAUGGAUAUGCUGCUGUGAUGGCUGUAUUUUGAAAAUUUCUCCACUCUUCAAUUCAGUUUGGAGAAAGUCAUGAGCCGGGUCUCGCCACUGCAUACCUGGCCCAGCUGUUAAACUCUUCAUUGCUGUUGUUAGCAGUAGUGUGUAACACUUCCUGCACUGCAUCACAGUUUCCUAUAAAUUUUCUUGGUUCACCGUUUAACUCGAAUUUUCUGCAAUCGUCAACAGCCGACCAGCCCCCGAUCUCUGCCGCGUCUACGCCCACGACCUCUGCCGCGUCUACGUCGUGGGGGUACCCUGGCCUGCGCGUCGGCCGGACACCCGGCAUACUCGUGGGUCAGGCCAAAGGGCGGAGGCCCUUGCCAA